GAAUACAAGCAAUACUGUUAAAUCAUUAAGUGUGAUUGUUUGUUCUUGUUUUACUGGCCAUAUAUAGGAAGGGCUUGGACUGGUUGGCAAGUCUUGCUAUGGAUACAACAUGCUCUUCAUCUCUAACACAGUAGAAUCUCACAUAUGUAUGUUACAGACAACAUAUUAUUAUACCAACUUGAAGCACUGGAGAAAGGAAACUGAUAAGAAACAAAUCAUCUACAGCUCUUAUUUCAUCACCAGCUAUAAGAAGAGUUUGGAAGAAAAACAUGUGUGGGUGUGCGCAUGUGUGUGCGCAUGUGGUAUUCAAAGAUAUGGUCAUCCACCUCUUGUUAUAUUCUGUGUAUAAUUGGUAUCCACAAGGCUGGUGGUUGCAGCACUGUGGAUAGCUCCCAGUGAGGAACUUUCUUUAAGGAGGGCUAGAGGUGAACUAUAAGACAUGACAAAUUUCUGCUUCAAUGUACAGUAGGAUAUUCUCAAGGCAUCAUCGUCUGUUCAAAGAAUUAAGACUUUUAAAAAGUGAAUGGCCAGGCCUGGAAGACAUUGAGCAGAGAUGGCAGCAUAGGAGAAUAGAAGUUACCUUCUAAGGUUCAGAGCUGGUGCUUAUGGGGGCCUAAUUUUAGUUCUUCACACUCCUUAGCAGAUUGGCUGUCUCUUCUGCCUCCAGAAUCAAGAUCAAGGUCUUGACACUGCAGUCUGAAAUGUCAAUCCAUUUUAGAGCACAUCUGGAAAAAUCUUUGACUUCAUACUAUUGUGUAUUCUCAGGAGCCCUGAGAUAAAAUAAUAAAUAUUUUCUUUUUAGGAUUACAAUAAAGGUCAAUUAAACAAAUAACAUAUAAGAUAGCCAGUAU